rfam:Geosporobacter ferrireducens strain IRF9, complete genome.
AAUGGUAAAGGUGAUGGAGCUCACCAUAAACAUUGCUGCGGCAAUUAAUGGCUCCUACUAAGGA